rnacentral:rRNA from 1 species
GAUGAACGCUGGCGGCGUGCUUAACACAUGCAAGUCGAACGGGAUCGGCUGGAGCUUGCUCCGGCCGUGAGAGUGGCGAACGGGUGAGUAAUGCGUGACCGACCUGCCCCAUACACCGGAAUAGCUCCUGGAAACGGGUGGUAAUGCCGGAUGCUCCAGUUGGAUGCAUGUCCUUCUGGGAAAGAUUCAUCGGUAUGGGAUGGGGUCGCGUCCUAUCAGGUAGUCGGCGGGGUAACGGCCCACCGAGCCUACGACGGGUAGCCGGCCUGAGAGGGCGACCGGCCACAUUGGGACUGAGAUACGGCCCAGACUCCUACGGGAGGCAGCAGUGGGGAAUAUUGCACAAUGGGCGCAAGCCUGAUGCAGCGACGCCGCGUGCGGGAUGACGGCCUUCGGGUUGUAAACCGCUUUUGACUGGGAGCAAGCCCUUCGGGGUGAGUGUACCUUUCGAAU